CUAGUUGGUGAGGUAAUGGCCCACCAAGGCGACGAUCCGUAGCUGGUCUGAGAGGACGACCAGCCACACUGGGACUGAGACACGGCCCAGACUCCUACGGGAGGCAGCAGUAAGGAAUAUUCCACAAUGGGCGAAAGCCUGAUGGAGCGACGCCGCGUGAAGGAAGAAGCCCUUCGGGGUGUAAACUUCUUUUUUCGGGGAUGACACGAUGGGGUAACCCAUCUAGGACAGUACCCGAAGAAUAAGCCUCGGCUAACUACGUGCCAGCAGCCGCGGUAAUACGUAGGAGGCGAGCGUUGUCCGGAUUUAUUGGGCGUAAAGCGCGCGCAGGCGGCACGCUAAGUACGCAGUGAAAUCUCCCUGCUAAACGGGGAGGGUGCUGUGUAAACUGGCGAGCUAGAGGACGGUAGAGGGGGGUAGAAUUGCUGGUGUAGCGGUGAAAUGCGUAGAGAUCAGCAGGAAUACCCGUGGCGAAGGCGGCCCCCUGGGCCGUACCUGACGCUGAGGCGCGAAGGCUGGGGGAGCGAACGGGAUUAGAUACCCCGGUAGUCCCAGCAGUAAACGAUGGCCACUAGGUGUGGGGGGUGUUGACCCCUUCCGUGCCGAAGCUAACGCAUUAAGUGGCCCGCCUGGGGAGUACGGUCGCAAGACUAAAACUCAAAGGAAUUGACG
rnacentral:rRNA from 1 species